rnacentral:rRNA from 1 species
AAAGAAAGCGUAAUAGCUCACUGGUCGAGUCGGCCUGCGCGGAAGAUGUAACGGGGCUAAACCAUGCACCGAAGCUGCGGCAGCGACGCUUAUGCGUUGUUGGGUAGGGGAGCGUUCUGUAAGCCUGUGAAGGUGUACUGUGAGGUAUGCUGGAGGUAUCAGAAGUGCGAAUGCUGACAUAAGUAACGAUAAAGCGGGUGAAAAGCCCGCUCGCCGGAAGACCAAGGGUUCCUGUCCAACGUUAAUCGGGGCAGG